AGUGAACGCUGGCGGUAGGCCUAACACAUGCAAGUCGAACGGCAGCACAGGAGAGCUUGCUCUCUGGGUGGCGAGUGGCGGACGGGUGAGGAAUACAUCGGAAUCUACUCUGUCGUGGGGGAUAACGUAGGGAAACUUACGCUAAUACCGCAUACGACCUACGGGUGAAAGCAGGGGAUUUUCGGACCUUGCGCGAUUGAAUGAGCCGAUGUCGGAUUAGCUAGUUGGCGGGGUAAAGGCCCACCAAGGCAACGAUCCGUAGCUGGUGUGAGAGGAUGAUCAGCCACACUGGAACUGAGACACGGUCCAGACUCCUACGGGAGGCAGCAGUGGGGAAUAUUGGACAAGGGGCGCAAGCCUGAUCCAGCCAUACCGCGUGGGUGAAGAAGGCCUUCGGGUUGUAAAGCCCUUUUGUUGGGAAAGAAAUCCAGCUGGCUAAUACCCGGUUGGGAUGACGGUACCCAAAGAAUAAGCACCGGCUAACUUCGUGCCAGCCGCCGCCGUAA
rnacentral:rRNA from 1 species